rnacentral:rRNA from 1 species
UACAGAGGGUGCAAGCGUUGUUCGGAAUUACUGGGCGUAAAGCGCGUGUAGGCGGCCCUGUAAGUCGGGUGUGAAAUCCCACGGCUCAACCGUGGAAGUGCACUCGAAACUACAGGGCUAGAGUCCUGGAGAGGAAGGUGGAAUGCUUGGUGUAGAGGUGAAAUUCGUAGAUAUCAAGCGGAACACCGGUGGCGAAGGCGGCCUUCUGGACAGUGACUGACGCUGAGACGCGAAAGCGUGGGGAGCAAACAGG